rnacentral:rRNA from 1 species
GGUAAUACGGAGGAUCCAAGCGUUAUCCGGAUUUAUUGGGUUUAAAGGGUGCGUAGGUGGCCUGUUAAGUCAGGGGUGAAAGACGGUAGCUUAACUAUCGCAGUGCCCUUGAUACUGAUGGGCUUGAAUGAACUAGAGGUAGGCGGAAUGUGACAAGUAGCGGUGAAAUGCAUAGAUAUGUCACAGAACACCAAUUGCGAAGGCAGCUUACUAUGGUUUUAUUGACACUGAGGCACGAAAGCGUGGGGAUCAAACAGGAUUAGAUACCCUGGUAGUCCACGCCCUAAACGAUGAAUACUCGAUGUUGGCGAUAUACGGUCAGCGUCUAAGCGAAAGCGUUAAGUAUUCCACCUGGGGAGUACGCCCGCAAGGGUGAAACUCAAAGGAAUUGACGGGGGCCCGCACAAGCGGAGGAGCAUGUGGUUUAAUUCGAUGAUACGCGAGGAACCUUACCCGGGCUUGAAAGUUAGUGAAUGAUACAGAGACGUAUCAGUCCUUCGGGACACGAAACUAGGUGCUGC